rnacentral:rRNA from 1 species
GUGGGGAAUCUUCCGCAAUGGACGAAAGUCUGACGGAGCAACGCCGCGUGAGUGAAGAAGGUUUUCGGAUCGUAAAGCUCUUUCGUUAGGGACGAACGUGCUCUUUGUGAAUAAUGAGGAGUAAUGACGGUACCUAAAUAAGAAGCCACGGCUAACUACGUGCCAGCAGCCGCGGUAAUACGUAGGUGGCAAGCGUUGUCCGGAAUUAUUGGGCGUCAAGCGCGCGCAGGCGGGAUAUCAAGUCUGUCUUAAAAGUGCGAGGCUCAACCUCGUGAGGGGACAGAAACUGGUAUUCUUGAGUGUCGGAGAGGAAAGUGGAAUUCCAAGUGUAGCGGUGAAAUGCGUAGAGAUUUGGAAGAACACCAGUGGCGAAGGCGACUUUCUGGACGAUGUCUGACGCUGAGGCGCGAAAGCUAGGGGAGCGAACGGGAUUAGAUACCCCAGUAGUCC